rnacentral:tRNA from 15 species
GGCGGUGUAGCUCAGCUGGCUAGAGCGUUCGGUUCAUACCCGAAAGGUCGGGGGUUCGACUCCCUUCGCCGCUACCA